rnacentral:rRNA from 1 species
UACGUAGGGGGCAAGCGUUGUCCGGAAUCAUUGGGCGUAAAGGGCGCGUAGGCGGCGGGGUAAGUCGGGUGUGAAAUCUCAGAGCUCAACUCUGAAACUGCACUCGAUACUGCUCUGCUUGAGGACUGGAGAGGAGACUGGAAUUCACGGUGUAGCAGUGAAAUGCGUAGAUAUCGUGAGGAAGACCAGUGGCGAAGGCGGGUCUCUGGACAGUUACUGACGCUGAGGCACGAAGGCCUGGGGAGCAAACGGG